UUUCCGUUACGAUGUAUGUUUACUGAAUGCGUGCAUAUAGAUUUUUUUUUGAUUUUUUUUAGGUUCUAAGCAAAACGAGGAUCGUUUAGGUUUUUCUAAAAUUAUUAUUAUUGUUAUUUUUUUUUCGGUCUGUAAAUAAUACUCUUUUAUCAAAACUCUUGCCCUAAUCGAAACACUCAAGGAACUGUAUUUUUUUAUUGUUUAUCUAGUCGGUUAGGUUAGGCGGUAGGAUUUACAGAUCAAUAAUACGUAGUUUGAUGUACCUAAGUAUUACACUUAUAUAAUAAAACUUAUUUUUCGGCUUUAGUUUUCA